rnacentral:lncRNA from 1 species
GCUAGAGGGAGGGGAUACAGUGUUACAACCAUGGCACGCUGUUGAAUCAAACAACACAAACCUAAAAUCACCCAUUUCCAUUGUCAACCCUAUUUUCAUCGUCAACCUUCAACCUUCACUCAACACCCAUUUCCAUUUAUUUUUCAAUUCACAAAGAAACACACGCAAGGACCGAACCAUGUCCAUCUCCAUUCUUCUCCAUAACACCUGCAUCACAAAACCGUAUCAACAUCACCUUCCCCUUAAUUCUUCCCCAACGAAGCAAAAAUGAAAAAAAUCACACCAAAACAAAGUAUCGAAUGACCUUGUUCCUCAUCUGAUCUCGAAUUCAUUCCACCCUUCCCUUGGAUCACGCCUUCCAAGCAGUAGCAGCAGUAGCGUUCCCCAGAAUCGCUCCUCUCUCAGUUUAGUCUUGAAGCGGUUGGCGCAGGGGAGGUUUUGAAAAGGGGUGUCUACUACGCCACAGCUGGUGGCGACUCCGAUGAGCGUGGCGUCGCCGGCGACGCCGAAACAGUAAGAGAGGGUGGCGUGAUGGCUGAGCUCGAAAGGGUGGCAGGCGGUGUUCAGUUGGAGGCAAACCCAAACCUAGGAUGGAGCCGGCGGUGGCUCCGGUGGGGCACCGUGACGCUGGCGACGCUAAGGCCGGCUGAAGGCGGUGGCGCGGUGGUCGUCGGAUGGAGGCGGUGGUGUGCGAGCCCCAACCCCGAGUUGUGCGAGAGAGAGCUGCGAGACGUGUCUACUGUUGGGUUUGAAAGCGCAAAAUGAGGGGAGAGGCUUGACCCCAUUCUAGGUCAGGAGAAGGCAUUCCAAAGAAAUUCAAAAAUAUUAUUUCAAAAAUCCUAAUUCAAUGCCAUGUAGGACUCUAUGUAAGCUAAUAAAUGACACUUCAGAAUGGCUCCGUUAUCAAUUUAAACGGUGUUAGUGAAAAGGACAAAAUUAAACUUUAAUUACGUUUUUUAUGACCAAAUUGAACACAAAAAAAUGAUGGGGACCAUUUCGAAUUUUUCCAACUAAAACUGGGACCAAAAAGAACUUUUAACCAACACAUUAAUAUACAAUUUGAUGUAUUUGAUAUAUCUAAAAUAAGAGGUGAACCGGUUGGAUCAUAUACGUAUAUUUAC